GACGAACGCUGGCGGCGUGCUUAACACAUGCAAGUCGAACGGAAAGGCCCUGCUUUUGUGGGGUGCUCGAGUGGCGAACGGGUGAGUAACACGUGAGUAACCUGCCCUUGACUUUGGGAUAACUUCAGGAAACUGGGGCUAAUACCGGAUAGGAGCUCCUGCUGCAUGGUGGGGGUUGGAAAGUUUCGGCGGUUGGGGAUGGACUCGCGGCUUAUCAGCUUGUUGGUGGGGUAGUGGCUUACCAAGGCUUUGACGGGUAGCCGGCCUGAGAGGGUGACCGGCCACAUUGGGACUGAGAUACGGCCCAGACUCCUACGGGAGGCAGCGGUGGGGAAUAUUGCACAAUGGGCGGAAGCCAGAUGCAGCAACGCCGCGUGCGGGAUGACGGCCUUCGGGUUGUAAACCGCUUUCGCCUGUGACGAAGCGUGAGUGACGGUAAUGGGUAAAGAAGCACCGGCUAACUACGUG
rnacentral:rRNA from 1 species